CGGUAACAGGAACAGCUUCUCUUCUCUGACGAGUGGCGGACGGGUGAGUAAUGUCUGGGAAACUGCCUGAUGGAGGGGGAUAACUACUGGAAACGGUAGCUAAUACCGCAUAACGUCGCAAGACCAAAGAGGGGGACCUCCGGGCCUCUUGCCAUCGGAUGUGCCCAGAUGGGAUUAGCUAGUAGGUGGGGUAACGGCUCACCUAGGCGACGAUCCCUAGCUGGUCUGAGAGGAUGACCAGCCACACUGGAACUGAGACACGGUCCAGACUCCUACGGGAGGCAGCAGUGGGGAAUAUUGCACAAUGGGCGCAAGCCUGAUGCAGCCAUGCCGCGUGUAUGAAGAAGGCCUUCGGGUUGUAAAGUACUUUCAGCGGGGAGGAAGGUGUUGAGGUUAAUAACCUCAGCAAUUGACGUUACCCGCAGAAGAAGCACCGGCUAACUCCGUGCCAGCAGCCGCGGUAAUACGGAGGGUGCAAGCGUUAAUCGGAAUUACUGGGCGUAAAGCGCACGCAGGCGGUCUGUCAAGUCGGAUGUGAAAUCCCCGGGCUCAACCUGGGAACUGCAUUCGAAACUGGCAGGCUAGAGUCUUGUAGAGGGGGGUAGAAUUCCAGGUGUAGCGGUGAAAUGCGUAGAGAUCUGGAGGAAUACCGGUGGGCGAAAGCGGCCCCCUGGCACAAAAACUGACGCUCAGGUGCGAAAGCGUGGGGGAGCAAACCAGGAAUUAGAUACCCUUGGUAGU
rnacentral:rRNA from 1 species